GUCAGCUAGAGGGUCAGUCCUAUAGAGAGACACGGUUCUGGAGCACAGGAGGAGAGGAGGACCGGAGGUACUGGACUCAGCAGGGCAGGACGAUCAGGAACGGGUUCGGGACUGAGGACGGAAUGCACUAAAGAGCCCUGAAGGUGUGAGGUUACUGAAUCAGCAAAGUGGGGAUUCACAGUCCUUAGGCGUUUUGGUGAGGCCUCAUCAGAAGGCAUUGCGAACCAUGGAAGCUGAAGUAUCAGCAACAACUGCAUCAGGUGACUUCCCUGCAAAGUCAGCAGGCUGGCAGGGUGGGGAGCGUAAAGAGGAUUUACCAUGGGGGUCAAUAAAGUAUCC